CUCCUCCCUCAGGAUCACACCUGGAGAAUUUCCAGUACUCUGCCAGUAUUGACUACGGGAGGGAGAGUGAAGCAAGAGGCCUACCCAUUCCAUUCCUAGCUUGGCCAGUGGCUAGCGAGUGGAAGGCAGUCUGCUACAAGU